ensembl:lncRNA
CCCGCCUUUCGGACCCUCGGAGCCAGUUCCUGCCCCGCCAGCCGCGGGUGUAGGCCCUUGGCCGGGCGCUCGCGGGAAAGCAGGGCCACCUGGGUGUCUUUGCAGAGGCAGGUGAGAGGGCUGAUGGCAGCAUGACCACAGAUAACUCCACUCCGGGCCAGCUGUGUGAUCUUGGCUGAUAGGGUGCCAGGCAUUAGAAACUUUCUCUCCAAUCCUCACCAAGUCUCGGUUUUACCAAAGCAGAAACUGAGGUUAAGAUCACCUCCCGCUGAUCAGUGCCACAGGUAAACGAGUUUGGCGGCUCCCAGAGAAGGAUUGAAAUAAGACCCAGUGAGGGACUUCUGGCAUGUAAUGGGACAGCCUCUGGGACGGGACAGGGAGGACAGCGUUUCGUUUCUCCAAGCCCAGGGAGGUGGCCUUGCAGGGCAAAGGUAGAAGCCAUCACUCCCCAAGUUUUCCUCCCAUGAGUCUAUCCAUCUGUUCAUGAAU